GUGCCAUUAGCUCAGUCGGUAGAGCAUCUGACUUUUAAUCAGAGGGUCGAAGGUUCGAGUCCUUCAUGGCACACCA
rnacentral:tRNA from 21 species